CAGUAGCCGCGGGAAUACGUAGGUGGCAAGCGUUGUCCGGAAUUAUUGGGCGUAAAGGGCUCGCAGGCGGUUUCUUAAGUCUGAUGUGAAAGCCCCCGGCUCAACCGGGGAGGGUCAUUGGAAACUGGGAAACUUGUGUGCAGAAGAGGAGAGUGGGAUUCCACGUGUAGCGGUGAAAUGCGUAGAGAUGUGGAGGAACACCAGUGGCGAAGGCGACUCUCUGGUCUGUAACUGACGCUGAGGAGCGAAAGCGUGGGGAGCGAACAGGAUUAGAUACCCGCGUAGUCCCUGUCUCUUAUAC
rnacentral:rRNA from 1 species